AUUGUUUCUUGGCCUUUUGGUUAAGAUUGAGUGUAUUAUCUGUUCCUACCAGUUUAACAUCUGAUAAGUUGUCUGUCUGAGGACACUAUAUUAAAUGGCAUUUGGAGCAGGGAGGUGGAACAGAGCUUGCUCCAUCUAUCCUGCACAUCAACCUGGUAUUGCAGUGCUCUGGGAAUGGUGCACAUACA